AAUAGAGGAAUUAAAAAAGUAAAUAAUAGUGAACAAGUAAAGCUGUGGACAGUGGCUGUUCAACUCAAAGGAAAAAUAGAGACUGGCAUCUGCGAGUGAAAUCUGGGGAGUGUUUCCUGAGGUUGUACCUCAUGCUGGAAGCCUAACUUGGUAAUGUUAGAGUCACCCAGCUGGUACUGGUUUUGAAGGCAUGAAGGGGUCAUGGAAAGCAGCUGAGACCUGGCACUGUGGGAGGCCAGGAGAGGCCCAGUUGCAGCAGAAGACCCCAGCAUCUUGGAGAUGCCAGGACCAUGGGACGACCACCAAGAACAGCAGCAGCAGUGGAGUGGAGCCAGCCAGAGCCUAGAGGACAAGACAAGCCAUGCGUGCUGCAGAGGGCAGAACUGGCGAAGGGACCGAAACCCCUGGGGAGCCCAGAAGAGGAGAGUGAUCUCCAUUGCGAAGGAGCCUGGGAAACCCCCAAGCUGGGUUAUCUCAGUUGAGGGUGAUCUGUAAUGAACAUGUUCUACUUUGAAUAAGCCUCAUGCAACAUUCCAGGAGCUCUGCACAUCCAUCACGUCUGUCACCAGGGCACUGCACCCCUCAUUCUUCAGUGGUUGGUAAUAGGAAAGACUGAGAUGACACCAGUAGAGGCCAAUGGGCCCAGGAGGAGAGAGCCAGGUUCCAGAGUUCACGGUGACCUGCUGUAGACGGGUGAGCUUAUGUUGUCAAGCUCCAGUUAAACUGGAUGUAGGAACAGACUCAUCAUUUGGUGGCCUUUGGUCCUGUGUGACCUGGGUCCAGAUUAGCUCAGGGUUACCCAGGAGCCCAUCAGUGUGGUUUUCUCAUGCAGUUUUAUCACCUCCCUUUUAUUUAUUUUUUAAUAGUGUUUCUACUCAUUCAAAUGCUUCAAUAUUUUUCCGUGGUUCCUUC